rnacentral:rRNA from 1 species
AUUGAACGCUGGCGGCAGGCCUAACACAUGCAAGUCGAACGAGUGGCGGACGGGUGAGUAAUGUCUGGGAAACUGCCUGAUGGAGGGGGAUAACUACUGGAAACGGUAGCUAAUACCGCAUACCAUCAGAUGUGCCCAGAUGGGAUUAGCUAGUUGGUGGGGUGACGGCUCACCAAGGCGACGAUCCCUAGCUGGUCUGAGAGGAUGACCAGCAACACUGGAACUGAGACACGGUCCUGACUCCUACGGAAGGCAGUAGUGAGGAAUAUUGCACAAUUGGCUAAAACCAGAUGCAGCCAUGCCGCGUGUAUGAAGAAGGCCUUCGGGUGGUAAAGUACUUUCAGAGGGGAGGCGUUACCCGCAGAGGAAGCACCGGCUAACUCCGUGCCAGCAGCCGCGGUAAUUC